ACGUUAAGCGAACGGGUGAGUAACGCGUGAGAAUCUGCCUUAAGGAGGAGGAGGAUAACAGUAAAGGUGAGGU
rnacentral:rRNA from 1 species